UACGGAGGGUGCAAGCGUUGUCCGGAUUUAUUGGGUUUAAAGGGUGCGUAGGUGGUUUGCUAAGUCUGGUUUGAAAGCUGGUGGCUUAACCAUCAGAUGUGGCUGGAAACUGGCGGACUUGAAUGCGUUGGCGGUAGCCGGAAUGGGUCAUGUAGCGGUGAAAUGCAUAGAUAUGACCCGGAACACCGAUUGCGAAGGCAGGCUACUACGACGUGAUUGACACUGAGGCACGAGAGCAUGGGUAGCGAACAGG
rnacentral:rRNA from 1 species